CAAUAGCGUAUAUUUAAGUUGUUGCAGUUAAAAGGCUCGUAGUUGGAUUUCGGGUGGGACGCAGCGGUCUCGCAUUGCGUUUGUACUGCUGCAGCCCUCCUUCUUGCCGGGGGCGGCCUCUCGGACUUCACUGUCUGGGGGUCAGAAUCGGCGAUGUUACUUUGAGUAAAUUAGAGUGUUCAAAGCAAGCUUACGCUCUGAAUAUAAUAGCAUGGGAUAACACGACAGGACUCUGGCCUAUCGUGUUGGUCUAUAGGACCAGAGUAAUGAUUAAGAGGGACAGUCGGGGGCAUUCGUAUUCCGUUGUCAGAGGUGAAAUUCUUGGAUUUACGGAAGACGAACAUCUGCGAAAGCAUUUGCCAAGGAUGUUUNCAUUGA
rnacentral:rRNA from 1 species